AAUAGAUACCCAGGUAGUCCACGCCGUAAACGAUGGAUACUAGCUGUUUGAGCGCAAGUUUGAGUGGCUAAGUGAAAGUGAUAAGUAUCCCACCUGGGGAGUACGGGCGCAAGCCUGAAACUCAAAGGAAUUGACGGGGGCCCGCACAAGCGGUGGAGCAUGUGGUUUAAUUCGAUGAUACGCGAGGAACCUUACCAGGGCUUAAAUGUAGAUUGACGUAUUUGGAAACAGAUAUUUCUUCGGACAAUUUACAAGGUGCUGCAUGGUUGUCGUCAGCUCGUGCCGUGAGGUGUCAGGUUAAGUCCUAUAACGAGCGCAACCCCUGUUGUUAGUUGCCAGCGAGUAAUGUCGGGAACUCUAGCAAGACUGCCAGUGUAAACUGUGAGGAAGGUGGGGAUGACGUCAAAUCAUCACGGCCCUUACGUCCUGGGCCACACACGUGCUACAAUGGCCGGUACAGAGAGCAGCCACUUAGCGAUAAGGAGCGAAUCUAUAAAGCCGGUCACAGUUCGGA
rnacentral:rRNA from 1 species